ensembl:miRNA
GUGUGAAUGCAUGAGUGUGUACACACACACACACACACACACACACACACACCUUAGCACUAAAG